UCGAGGAUCUUCGGCAAUGGGCGCAAGCCUGACCGAGCGACGCCGCGUGCGGGAUGAAGGCCUUCGGGUUGUAAACCGCUGUCAGUGGGGAGGAAAUGCCGGUGGGUUCUCCCAUCGGUUUGACCUAUCCGCAGAGGAAGCAAGGGCUAAGUUCGUGCCAGCAGCCGCGGUAAGACGAACCUUGCAAACGUUAUUCGGAAUUACUGGGCUUAAAGGGUGCGUAGGCUGUGCAGAAAGUUGGGUGUGAAAUCCCUCGGCUCAACCGAGGAAUGGCAUUCAAAACUACUGUGCUAGAGGAAUACAGAGGUAAGCGGAACUUCUGGUGGAGCGGUGAAAUGCGUUGAUAUCCGAAGGAACACCGGUGGCGAAAGCGGCUUACUGGGUAUUUUCUGACGCUGAUGCACGAAAGCCAGGGGAGCGAACGG
rnacentral:rRNA from 1 species